AGCAGCCGCGGUAAUUCCAGCUCCAAUAGCGUAUAUUAAAGUUGUCGCAGUUAAAAAGCUCGUAGUUGAAUUUCGGGGUCAGCAAGUUGGUCGUGCCACUGGUAUGCACUGGCUUUGCUGAUUCCUCCUUCCUGAAGAACUGUAAUGCUAUUAAUUUAGUGUUGCAGGGAAACAGGACUGUUACUUUGAAAAAUUAGAGUGUUUAAAGCAGGCUAACGCUUGAAUACAUUAGCAUGGAAUAAUGAAAUAGGACGUUUGAUCCUAUUUUGUUGGUUUCUAGGAUUGACGUAAUGAUUAAUAGGGAUAGUUGGGGGCAUUAGUAUUCAAUUGUCAGAGGUGAAAUUCUUGGAUUUAUUGAAGACUAACUACUGCGAAAGCAUUUGCCAAGGAUGUUUUCAUUAAUCAAGAACGAAAGUUAGGGGAUCGAAGACGAUCAGAUACCGUCGUAGUCUUAACCAUAAACUAUGCCGACUAGGGAUCGGAUGAUGUUAAUUUUUAAUGACUCAUUC
rnacentral:rRNA from 1 species